rnacentral:piRNA from 1 species
GUGGCGGCUUCAUGCAAGAGUUUU